rnacentral:pre_miRNA from 1 species
AGAAACCUGAAAACUACUGUUGGAUCGAAAAAUAGACGUUUGAGAUUUGUUCACGUCAUUAGGAGUAAAAAUUUUACUUGCAGGUUACUCAUGAGUAAAAAUUUUGCUCCAUUACUCAUGGUGAUAUGGACGAAUCUUUGAUGUUCAUUUUUCGAUCCAAUAAUAGUUUUUAAGUUUUC